AUGCUUCCGGGUUGCCGCUGGCUGCCGCCUCCCGGCGCACUCCAGAGCAUUGCAGAGAAAAACAACCUGGUACCUAUUGGCAAGCCGGCCUCAGAGCACUAUGACGACGAGGAAGAGGAAGACGACGACGAGGACAGUGAAGAGGACUCAGAGGAUGACGAGGACAUGCAGGACAUGGAUGAGAUGAAUGACUACAAUGAGUCACCUGAUGACGGGGAGGUCAGUGAGGUGGACAUGGAAGGCAACGAACAGGAUCAGGACCAGAUGAUGAUCUAGGUAGACAGAAAAGGUGGUCUCAAGAAAAGGGGUCCAAGGACGGCCCUGGACUCCCUGCAGAACCAGCUGAUCACCCACCUACAUGGCCCACCCCAGUGCCUGAAUGCUCAUCCUCAGGCACUUCCUCAGCUGCUGCCAGGACCUGAUCUUCUUGGUACCUCCCAGGCCAUCAGUCUGCCCUUGAAUCCCCAGGGCCUAAGCCCAGCCCACUCCCUUCUAGCCAGCAUCUCACCCCUUGUUUGUCAGAUCUAGUCUCUAACUUUCUUUAAUAAAGACACAGGACUGAAAAUAGAAAAAUAAAAAA